UCUCCUUGCCUCAGUUUGAGGAAUCUCACAUUUGUUGUAGAACUCUGUAGCUUGAUCUUUCACAGUAUCUCUCUCAAUAGGAAGAGCCUUUUAAAGAGGGCACAUUUUAAGUUUGGAUUCUAAUGUUUCUUGUUUAUGUUUUUUAAAACACUUUAUGCUUUUAUAAACCUCUAAAAAUUGGGUGAAGUGAUUGUAUCCAUUAAAUCUGCUUAGGGUUGCUAUCAAGUUAAAGAACUGCUGAUUCAUAAUUCUCAUUGCAAAAUUAAUAUUAAAGAACACCUACUAGAUAAACUCAGUGGUUUGUAUGCUUGUAUUUUAAAAAUAUGUGAGAAUUAUUUUCUGCAUCCUUUUUUAUGGUUUAGGUAGAAAUGAGUAAUAAAAAGUACCCAAGAAAAUGUUCUUUUGAUGGUACAAACAACUUAAAGGGGAAGCAGCAGAGAGACAACCGUAGCUAUUUCCUUAUCCUUGGUCUGUUAUAAUGACUUCCCUCUAGGCUCAAGCCAACCCCCAUCCUUACCCUAAUAUUCCCUAGGGCCUCCGGCUAUAAGAUCUUUCUGUUAUUCUCCUAAGAAACCACAUAGACAAGUCCCAUUGACCUUUAGCCUGGAUUAAAAUAUGUACAAGUAAUUCAUGCUUUUAAAAAAAUUCAGCAGUAUUUGUAGGAGAAAGUGAAAGUAUCUUCCAAUAAAAUUCCUCAGUCUUAUUUUUCUGCAAUGAAUGAUGGGUUUUAAGCCAUGAUUGUCCUGUGUUCUCCAGGACCCGUAAGAACACUUCUGAUCCUCUUAGCACCAUGUCUGUCCCUUUCCAGAGCACCCACCUCAGUGGUACACACUAUCCCUUUCUCCAGUUCUCUGUGGGGCCCUGGGCCUUGUUAACAGCAU
rnacentral:lncRNA from 1 species